rnacentral:rRNA from 1 species
UACAGAGGGUGCAAGCGUUAAUCGGAAUUACUGGGCGUAAAGCGUGCGCAGGCGGUUUUGUAAGCCAGAUGUGAAAUCCCCGGGCUUAACCUGGGAAUGGCAUUUGGGACUGCAAGGCUUGAGUGCGGCAGAGGAGACUGGAAUUCCUGGUGUAGCAGUGAAAUGCGUAGAUAUCAGGAGGAAUACCGAUGGCGAAGGCAGGUCUCUGGUCUGACACUGACGCUCAUGCACGAAAGCGUGGGGAGCAAACAGG